GAACUGAAGAGUUUGAUCAUGGCUCAGAUUGAACGCUGGCGGCAGGCCUAACACAUGCAAGUCGAGCGGAUGACGGGAGCUUGCUCCUUGAUUCAGCGGCGGACGGGUGAGUAAUGCCUAGGAAUCUGCCUGGUAGUGGGGGACAACGUUUCGAAAGGAACGCUAAUACCGCAUACGUCCUACGGGAGAAAGCAGGGGACCUUCGGGCCUUGCGCUAUCAGAUGAGCCUAGGUCGGAUUAGCUAGUUGGUGGGGUAAUGGCUCACCAAGGCGACGAUCCGUAACUGGUCUGAGAGGAUGAUCAGUCACACUGGAACUGAGACACGGUCCAGACUCCUACGGGAGGCAGCAGUGGGGAAUAUUGGACAAUGGGCGAAAGCCUGAUCCAGCCAUGCCGCGUGUGUGAAGAAGGUCUUCGGAUUGUAAAGCACUUUAA
rnacentral:rRNA from 1 species